rnacentral:SRP_RNA from 16 species
UACCUGUAACUCAUGCGAGGGACUAUAUGGUGCUUGGAUUCGAUGGCUCACUUCUAACGCUUGUGCCCGCCGCGCUGAGGCUGUGCCCCACUCAAGGCGACUGUGUCCACUGGUUCCGGCGGGUAGCUGCCGGGGUCUUGGGGCCGAAGGAACAGGGUACGGGGCCAGGCCGGCAACGGAGCAGCCAAAACCUGUCGCAGCCGCCAGUGAGGGGAACACACGGCU